rnacentral:lncRNA from 1 species
GAUUACCAAUAAAUAGCGUGGGCUCCCAGCGCUCAGGGCCUUCGCAGUCUCCACGAUCACGAUGGUCCUCUGGUGUCCCAUCUUUCUCUCUCAAACUGUCCUUUCCUCAAUCCUUUGACUCCGCCGGACUUUGUCACCCCCACAACCUGGUUUUGGGUCUGGCCACCCCAACAUUAAGGUUUAAUUAUGACAAACAUAUUAAACACAGAAAGACCCUACUUUACUUGACAUCUAAAUGUGAAUGAAUUUAUUAAUGUCACAUGUUGCAACAUUAAAGGGACAACUUGAC